rnacentral:rRNA from 1 species
AAAUUGAAGAGUUUGAUCAUGGCUCAGAUUGAACGCUGGCGGCAGGCCUAACACAUGCAAGUCGAACGGUAACAGAAAGAAGCUUGCUUCUUUGCUGACGAGUGGCGGACGGGUGAGUAAUGUCUGGGAAACUGCCUGAUGGAGGGGGAUAACUACUGGAAACGGUAGCUAAUACCGCAUAACGUCGCAAGACCAAAGA